rnacentral:tRNA from 13 species
CGAUCCUGCCUGGUGGAGAGUGCAGGCUUCAAACCUGUAGGGGCUCAGUGGCCCAGUGGUUCGACUUCACCUUGCGU